GACGAACGCUGGCGGCGUGCUUAACACAUGCAAGUCGAACGGAAAGGCCCUGCUUUUUUGGGGUUCUCGAGUGGCGAACGGGUGAGUAACACGUGAGUAACCUGCUCUAGACUUUGGGAUAACUUCAGGAAACUGGGGCUAAUACCGUAUAGGAUCUCCUGCUGCAUGGAGGGCGUUGGAAAGUCUAGGCUGUAGGGGAUGGACUCGCGGCUUAUCAGCUUGUUGGUUGGCUAGUGGCAUACCAAGGGUUUGACGGGUAGCCGGCAUGAGAGGGUGACCGGGGACAUUGCGACUGAGAUACGGAGCAGAGUGCUACGGGAGGCAAUAGUGGGGAAUAUUGCACAGUGAGAGGGAGCCUGAUGCGACAACGUCGCGUUCGGGAUGACGGCCUGUGGGUUGAGAAAAGCUUUAGCCUGUGACGCAGCGUGAGUGACGGUAAUGGAUGAAGAAGCACCGGCUAACUACGUG
rnacentral:rRNA from 1 species